GACGAACGCUGGCGGCGUGCUUAACACAUGCAAGUCGAGCGGUAAGGCCCUUUCGGGGGUACGACGAGCGGCGAACGGGUGAGUAACACGUGGGUGACCUGCCCUCAGCUCUGGGAUAAGCCUGGGAAACCGGGUCUAAUACUGGAUAUGACUCCAUGACGCAUGUUGUGGGGUGGAAAGCCUUGUGCGGCUGAGGAUGGGCCCGCGGCCUAUCAGCUUGUUGGUGGGGUGAUGGCCUACCAAGGCGACGACGGGUAGCCGGCCUGAGAGGGCGACCGGGCCACACUGGGACUGAGACACGGCCCAGACUCCUACGGGAGGCAGCAGUGGGGAAUUUUGGACAAUGGGGGCAACCCUGAUCCAGCCAUUCCGCGUGAGUGAAGAAGGCCUCGG
rnacentral:rRNA from 1 species